UGAUGGCGAUGGCGUCAGCGGUUUCAAGAAAAUGUACAGCUAGUUGGACACUUCUAACUUCUUCACACGGUUGUUUUCCUGUUAAGAAAAAAGGUCCUACUUGGUUAUCCAAUUGAUUGAUUGCUCUUCGUUGUGCUAUUGUGUUUCGAACUUUCUUUCAUUGAAUUCCUCGACUUAUUCUUCUGAUGUGUGGCAAUGGAGUGCGAUGCUAUUGCCUGGUUCAUUGCGGAGCUUAAUAAUUUGCAAGGAGAGCAAAGAAAAAAAGGAGGAAAAUUAUUUCAAUUUACAGGGGAUCAUAUUGGAUCUGAGGCUUCAGAACAUGUAGGUGUAUCUUGUCCCCCCCAUAACUUGCCACUGGAUGCAUUCCCUCCAAGAGAUCAAUGUGAUGAGAUUGCCUAUAUAUAACAUAGGUGUAUCUUGUUUAUUAGUUAUGCAGUUACAGGUCUAAGCUAGUUGGGCUGGGCUUUGUUUCUUAUUGUUUAGUUGUUGCUACCUUAUGAGGAACAGACAUGUACUUACACAUUCUAUUCUUAAAGUAUAAACAGAAGUUGGUGUUC